CUCUCUUAAGGAGUUCCCGUUUGGGUGGUCAAACCUGUCCUGACACCCAGAGGUCUGCAUGAUGGGUGGCCACUGAAGGAGGAGUUCUCAAAGGCCACAGGUGAUGAAGAGCUUGGAUGAAUGAACUUCUGUCCCAGGAAAAUAGCAAAAAUUUCAUCUCCUGAAGAAAUUUGAAGAUUUUUUUGGAUGUUCUUUUAAAUGUGAAACUUUUCUUCUUUAGGAUUGGACAACUGAAUUUAAAGGCAAGUUAAAGUUCAAUAUUUUGAACAAUGUUUAAAUCAAGAUGAGCGAGAAGACAGAACUGUUAAAAGGUUUUAUUUUACAGCCAAGUGAAGGAUUCAGCUAUGUCCCAAAGGAUUAAACAAGAUGGUAUGCUUAAUAAUUCCUAGCUUCUAUGAAACUCCCUGAUUAUGAAGUGUACUUUCAUUCUAUAGAACUACUCCUGAUUUCAUCAGGAAACUCUGAUCUGAAAC
rnacentral:lncRNA from 1 species